GUACUUAAGGGUGCACCACCGGAGAUUAGUAGGCGAAGACGGCCACCGAGCCUUGCCUUGACCUAGAGCAAGGAAAUGCAACAAAAAGAAGUAAGAUACAGACACUGCCUUUUAUGAAGGAUCCAGCUAAACUAUGACCCGUGUAACCUUUGAAGAUUGAUGCUAGAAACGCUUGUUGACACAGUGGAUGCGAGAUAAAAUCCGGGACGGCUGUCCAACCACAACCUAAUCCCUCUUCCACGCGCAUCGGUUUGCGGACGAGCCAGAGGUACUGAGAUCAUGGUGUAUGUCAGAAACUGCCAAGAGUCACGCGGAAGGGUAGCACAAACAAUUUAGCACUGAUCUUCUGAACACCAGAGGACGGAGACGCAGCGACCCACGCACUCAUCACGGCCCAUCAACUUCACUUGGCCCUUUUAGUUGGAAGGACCCCGUUCGAGUAAAGUCUGAACCUACCAAGCUCUACCGAUUGAAUGAGCCAAUCGUACAACGAACAGAUAAAAAAAAUCAGCUCAGCUCCCGGUAGAAGAACCUUGCUGUCAGCUCACUAGCUUUGCCAGUAACCUGACCUUGCUGCAGCUGGCGAAGUUCGCAUUGGAUGGAUGUCCCCAGCCGGG